UUGAAGAAAUUGCUUUCUAUUCUGCCUACUAUUUGGCCAAGCUAAUUUUGCUAUAUGAAAGGUGAAGCUGGAAUUUUUAAACGUCCUACUUGCAUAGACGAUAUCAUCUCUCUUAAUGCUGGUGAUGUUUGGAAGGGGAGCACCACUUAUAUAGGAAAGUUGAGUUCCACUUUAUUUGCUAAGAGACUUAUUGCCUUU